rnacentral:tRNA from 1 species
AGACAACAAAAUGUUUAAUAUUAUUAUUUUGUCACCUUAGGUCGAUCGGUAUCACACGUUUUUAAUUUAUUAAAAAUUUCAUUUCCUAAGUUUUUCUAGGUCACACCCAUUAUUUUUCCUGGGCCAUUAGCUCAGGUGGUUAGAGCGCACCCCUGAUAAGGGUGAGGUCCCUGGUUCAAGUCCAGGAUGGCCCAUAUCUCUAUGUUGGGGGUAUAGCUCAGUUGGUAGAGCGCCUGCUUUGCAAGCAGGAUGUCAGCGGUUCGAGUCCGCUUACCUCCACUGAUCACCACCUCUUCCAUAACCGGUAGAAAGGAAAUUUUUUGAGUUGUGAUCAAAUCCUGAAAGAAUCUAGCUUCCUAAUGAAAUCAUUAAGAUGCUGGACUCAUUGAAUUAAAUUCAUUGUUUUCAGAGAACCUUGACAACUGCAUAGAUUAUUUUUAAAGACAAUAAGCAUCUUUAAUGAUGCAGAUUUAUUAUUUGUGCAAAUGCAUUAAUAACAAUUCUAUUAAGCUGAUGCUUCAAUAUUUGAAGUUAUU